AGGAUUAACGCUGGCGGCGUGCAUGAGACAUGCAAGUCGAACGGACGAUCAGGGCUUGCUCUGAUCGUUAGUGGCGGACGGCUGAGUAACGCGUAGGUGACCUGCCCCGAAGUGGGGGAUAACUGCCCGAAAGGGUGGCUAAUACCGCAUGCGGAGGUUCGUUCAAUCGAACCUUCAAAGCAGCAAUGCGCUUCGGGAGGGGCCUGCGUCCGAUUAGCUCGUUGGUGGGGUAACGGCUCACCAAGGCGGCGAUCGGUAGGUGGUCUGAGAGGACGAUCACCCAGACUGGGACUGAGACACGGCCCAGACUCCUACGGGAGGCAGCAGUCGGGAAUUUGCGCAAUGGGCGAAAGCCUGACGCAGCAACGCCGCGUGAGGGAUGACGGCCUUCGGGUUGUAACCUCUUUAUCGAGGACGAUGAUGACGGUACUGAUAGAAUAAGCCGACGGACUAACGUACGUCGCCAGCACGACCGCGGUAAUCGUAGGAGCGGGCGUCGGACGAA
rnacentral:rRNA from 1 species